UCGAAUUCAUGUCUUAAACACAAGUUUUCAUCUCUAUAUAUAAAAAUGAAUUGCUGUUCGUUAGUCUCGCUUAAACUCGAGAACGGCUGGACCGAUUUGACUGAUUUUGGUCUUGAAUCAUUAUAUUUGUGAAAGUCCAGAAAAGGUUUAAAAGGUAAAAAAAUGUGUGCAAUUCACACGUGGUAGAAGUGAAACCUUCCAAAAUUAAAAUACAAUUAUCCUAAACGUCUUAAGUAUAUGUAAAAUUUUGUCAUUAGUAAAUAAUUGUAAGGUAGCGCCCUCUGUGAAUUGAUAUUUUAAUUUCACGUAUAAUCCUAAAUUAAAAUUCACUACAAGAGCUUUCAUACACACGUUAGUAUUAAAAAAUCUCACAGAUGGCGCUGUAUUAAAUAGUAUGUAUAUUUCUGUCUCAUUCUUUGCUGGCUUCAUCCUACACAUUUUUGUAUUUGUGUCUCUUACCUGUCAUUUUUUCCGUUGCAUCCGGUUUGAAAUCACAACGAUUCUAAAGAAGUUUUCACUUCAAUAAAUAUGAAAAUGCUCGGAAUGAAAUGAAAAUAACAAUUUUGUUUUCCCUUUGUUGUGUCCCCCGUCGGACGGAUUCCUUUUCCGUCUUUUAUUUAUCGAUUGACGCACUACGAAGUCUGCCGGGUCAGCUAGUGACUGAUAAAUGACAGCUAAUUACAUAUCAGGAGGUAUACGUAUAAUUUAAAUAAGUAUUUAAAUAGGUAUAGUAAUAUAGGGUUCCAAUCCAUCAUUCUCCGAACCGAAAAUAACGUCUAGUGCCGAUCAUUCCUAAUCUCUUGCCGUCAUCUUUUGCCGAACUGAUAGUCGUUAUUGCUCUUCAAUAUCAUCAGCGCUAGAGGCACAGCUGAGUUGCUUUUAUUCUGUACAAUGAAAAUUCAAGAGUAAGGAACACGCAUGGUAGCUAUUGAUUCCUCGUUUGAUUGCUAGUUCACGAAAUUAGAAAUAACUAGCUAUACCUGUCCGCUUCGCUGGGUAUUUAAAAUUAACAUUAUUAUUCUUCACCCCCACAAAGAUUCUCAUCAUUAAUGCCCCCGCAACUGGUUUAGAGAGUCCAACACUCAUAUAAAUCCAUUAAGUACAUGUAUUUUCUACAUGGAUACCAAGUUUCAAAUCAAUCGGAUGCCUGGUUCAGUAAUUAUAACGGAACAUCCGUAAAAACCACUGUAGAUUAGUAUAGAUUAAUCGACAAGAGGAUUAGUGGGUGUUUCAUAUUUCCAACCUACUAUUGCCUAAUAAUUUAUAUUCGUUUCGCCAUUCUGGCCAUCUGAUCAUAUAGUAAGUACAACCCAACUUGUAUUAGUAGUUGAAGCAGUUUUUGGAUUUCCAUGAAAUCUUAAAAUAAAAAAAACAUUACGAAAACAUUUAGUAAAAUUUAUUUUUGUCAUUUUUGUCAAUUGUACUUUGUUGACAUUAAAAUAUUAUAAAUAUCGUAAGCAAACUCCGUAAGAUAACUGUUUAAAUCAGGCCCAAUAGUUGGGGUUGGUUCAAUGCCAAUAUUCACGAUGAUAUAUUAAUAUUAAAUAACAUCCAGAGAUGAAUGCACGUGGUUACGAUUCAUACACUUAUUAAAUUGUCAGAGAGGCCCACAGAUCUCUCUACGGGUGUGCCGCCAACUGUUUUGAGACAUGUAGUCUACGGCUCAAUUGUCAUUCAAAGGCCUCCAUCAUUUUUUAUGUACUAUGGAUGUUUUUAUGUCCGACUUUUACCGGGAGCUCAAUAAGAGCCCGUAGUAUCAAGCCAAGGUCACUAAGUUUAUAUAUAAGGAGUGAUGUUGAGAGGGAAAAAAAAAUCAGCAGUAAAUCACCGAGACUAUUAUUAAAAAAUAUGUAAUAACAAAACUAA